GAUUAUUUUAAAAUGUAGCAAACAACAUUAUAUAUAAUUAUUUUACAACAGCAAAGAUUUUAUUUGCUAUUUUAAAUGUUUUCCCUGUUUUUUACUUUAAGAGAAGAAGAAUAUAAAUGUUCUAGAAGAAUAUAUGCUGAGGAUAGCUUUCAGCUGCUGCGCUCUUAACUUAAGCCAAGUGCCUUGGAAGUGCAGUGAUUGCUCAGGAGCAACAAGGGACCUGCAGCACCUCCUCUGGGUACAGCAGAGGCAACUUCACCUGGUGUACUGGGAAUAGUUGGGUGGCUUUGACUUUCCCCCUCCAGAAUAUGUAGCAAGGGAGACAGAACAUCCAUAAAAACAACAUUUUACCAACACAUAGUAUAAAUGGUCUGCUAUUCUAAGGACAAAGAGCAAUAAAACAAAAAUGGGAUAUCA
rnacentral:lncRNA from 1 species